AGAUUGAACGCUGGCGGCAUGCUUUACACAUGCAAGUCGAACGGCAGCACGGGGGCAACCCUGGUGGCGAGUGGCGAACGGGUGAGUAAUGCAUCGGAACGUAUCCUUGAGUGGGGGAUAACGCAGCGAAAGUUGUGCUAAUACCGCAUAAGCUCUGAGGAGGAAAGCGGGGGACCGAAAGGCCUCGCGCUGAAGGAGCGGCCGAUGUCCGAUUAGCUGGUUGGUGGGGUAACGGCCCACCAAGGCGACGAUCGGUAGCUGGUCUGAGAGGAUGAUCAGCCACACUGGGACUGAGACACGGCCCAGACUCCUACGGGCGGCAGC
rnacentral:rRNA from 1 species